CAGCUUGCUGCUUCGCUGACGAGUGGCGGACGGGUGAGUAAUGUCUGGGAAACUGCCUGAUGGAGGGGGAUAACAGUUGGAAACGGCUGCUAAUACCGCAUAAGCGCACAGUACCGCAUGGUACGGUGUGAAAAACUCCGGUGGUGUGAGAUGGACCCGCGUCUGAUUAGCUAGUUGGCAGGGCAACGGCCUACCAAGGCGACGAUCAGUAGCCGACCUGAGAGGGUGACCGGCCACAUUGGGACUGAGACACGGCCCAAACUCC
rnacentral:rRNA from 1 species